GGAAGAGGAGAGAGACCAGAUCCUGUGAACGUCGUUUGAUGACAGGCGCAGGCCUGGAUCUCCUGCUCCUCGGGACUUCUUGCCUCUAUGAGUCCAUGCAGCCGGCUGGAGAUGGAUGGAGAUCUCCAAACGUGAAAGCACAUUUAUCUGCUCCCUAAAUUUAAAUAAAAAGCCAAAUGAAAUAAACAGAUCCCAGCAGAAGAGGAGAGACCCAC
rnacentral:lncRNA from 1 species